AUGCCGCCCAAGGUGUCCGCUGUCGCCGCCGGCGAGGCCCACACGCUCGCACUCACCGGUAACGGGGAGCUCUACUCAUGGGGGCGGGGGACGUUCGGCCGCCUUGGCACCGGUCGCGAGGCGGACGUGCACGUGCCCACCGUCGCUGCUCCUGCUGCGGGGAGGCAGCGGCCCAGGUUCACCGCCGUCGCCGCCGGCGCGUACCACAGCCUCGCGCUCGACGAUGAAGGCUCACUCUGGUCAUGGGGCUACAAUAUCUAUGGUCAGCUUGGCUAUGGAGAAGAGAAUUCUCUUUCUCCAUGUUUGGUUGACGGGUUUCAAGAUUUGGGUUCCCCUGAAACACUGCAGGAUGAAGAACAGAACACUCUUGCACGGACUCCUUUGAAGUUGUCUUCUGUGAAAGCUGGGGGCAUGAUGUCAUUUGCAAUAGAUAGUCUUGGGGCCCUGUGGAUGUGGGGAAAUUGCCCGCAGCAGACUGAUGAUGGGGAGUUUUACAUAGCAGCUACCUCAGCCCCACUGCCUGUGUGGGAUUUCCAUGGCCACACUGUAGUUAAGGUUGCCUGCGGUAAUGAACAUGUUGUGGCUGCCGUCAGUGCUGGAGAGACGUAUACAGGAGGUGACCUUGUCUGUUAUUCCUGGGGCAACAACAACCAUGGGCAGUUGGGUCUGGGUGACAAGGAAAGUAGGUCUCGUCCCGUGCUCAUCUCAGAAUUUGGUGAGGGCUCUUCAUGGGAGGUGUAUGAAAUUGCAUGCGGAGCUUGGCACACUGCUGUGCUCACCAAUAAGAAGUCUUUUGAUCAGGAUCUUGAAUCUCGGUGCUGGACAUUUGGCAUUGGUGACAAUGGGCAGCUUGGCCAUGGAACAACUGCCACCAUCUGCUCCCCGCAGCCUGUUGACGGCUUGCCCACCGGUUCCUUCCUCAUCUCUCUUGAUUGUGGACUGUUCCACACGGCAGUAGUCUCCUCCGAUGGAGAGGUGUGGUGCUGGGGAAUGGAGAGAGGUCUCGGAUUGUGCCCAGAUGCUAGCUUUUCAGGAAUGGACGCAGGGGAUGCCCUGUACCCCAUAAGAGUUCAGUCUCCUGAGACGAAUGGGUUCAAGUUUCUUGGUCCAGUGCAGGUUGCCUGUGGAGCUGCCCACACUGUUCUUGUUGCCGGUGACGGGUACAGGAUGUGGGCAUGGGGCCGAGGCCGCAGCGGCGUGCUUGGGAGAGACCAGACUACUGACAGUUACACUCCAUGCGUUGUGAUGUGGCCUCCUCUUGAUGAGAACUUCCAAGAGAUUCAUGAGGACCAAGGGCAGGCGUCGACAUCAAGAGCGAACGACGGCACUAACACUGAGCUGGAGCUGAAGUUAUCUGCUGCCUCGGAGGAGCUACAGUUCCUUAGGUCAAAACUGACACUCAUGGAGAGAUAUGCCAACAUACUCCACAUUUCAAUAUUCCGCAAGCCCAUGGACGAACGGACACUUCCUCGCUCACUUCAAGAGUCUGCAGUCUUUGAUAUCAGAAAGGAAUUUGAGAACAUCUUGGAUUCGUCGGAUACUGAUGAGCUCGCUCGCUUGGAGAUGUUUUACCGUAGCAUGCUUUCUGGUGUUAAGGACAAGCUUCUCAAGAGAAAAGUUGAAGUGAUGGUCCAAGAAUGCAUUGUUUCACUCUCUGCAGGGAGGCAAACCCCGCGUGGUCAGUGA
rnacentral:rRNA from 1 species